rnacentral:tRNA from 1 species
GGAUUGUGGCUCAGCGGUAGAGCACUCACCUAGCAUGUGUGAAGCACUAGGUUCGAUCCUCAGCACCA